rnacentral:rRNA from 1 species
GACGGAAGGUGCAAGCGUUGCUCGGAAUCACUGGGCGUAAAGGGCGCGUAGGCGGCCACCGCAAGUCGACUGUGAAAUCUCCGGGCUUAACCCGGAAAGGUCAGCCGAUACUGUGCGACUAGAGUGCAGAAGGGGCAACUGGAAUUCUCGGUGUAGCGGUGAAAUGCGUAGAUAUCGAGAGGAACACCUGCGGCGAAGGCGGGUUGCUGGGCUGACACUGACGCUGAUGCGCGAAAGCCAGGGGAGCGAACGGG